AGAAAGUUAGAUCAUAAGUUCUAAGGUGAGAGCAAUGACAACCAUAUAUAUCAUAUUAGUUCCUUGUUACAGAACUUUUUUAUAUUUUUCUGUUUUAGUAACUGGAAUUCCCUGGUAGCUCAGCUGGUAAAGAAUCCUGCCACAAUGCAGAAGACCCUGGUUUGAUUCCUGGGUCAGGAAGAUCCACUGGAGAAAGGACAAGCUACCAACUCCAGUGUUCUAGGUGUCCUAGAUUUAAAGAAGGAAGAUCAGAGGGAUGAUCGUCUGGAGGUGAUCACUGAUGAUGACAAAGAGGCUGAGGAAGCAGGGGAUGGCAGAGAUGGCUUCCAUGAAGGAAGAUCAGAGGGAUGAUCGUCUGGAGGUGAUCACUGAUGAUGACAAAGAGGCUGAGGAAGCAGGGGAUGGCAGAGAUGGCUUCCAUGGCUCCCCAGGAACCAUCAGUGGAACAAGUUACUGGGAAUGUGUUGAGUCUCCUUAACUGGGGAGAGGACCCAAGGAUGUUACCAUUCAUGUUGAAGAGUGUUACCCCCGUGGAGAGCACAGACCUUAGAAGAGAUAAGAGCUCCGAAGAGCCGACAGAAAGUCCUUGUCGCAAACGUGAGAAGGAAAAUCAGAACAAGUGGAAUAUUCUAGAUUGUAAAGAAGGUAACACUUCAGUGACCUCGAGAGAGCACCUUUUGGAGCAUGGAUUAGGAUGGUAUGAGGUCAGGAUUGACUGGACAAAGAUGGAUGAGCAAUGA
rnacentral:lncRNA from 1 species